rfam:Schistosoma mansoni strain Puerto Rico chromosome 1, complete genome
AUCCAGCUGACGAGUCCCAGGUAGGACGAAACGCGCGUCAAACUGGAU